GCUGCGCAGUGGGAGUUGUAGCCAUGGGAACAACCUAGGGACCUGGCAAGGAAAGACUAGGCCAGACCUUAGCACCCCCUGUCAGGGACUUCCUGCUGGUUAAUCCUGCUUCCUCUGCCAGCAGGAAGUCAGCUAGCAAAGAAGCCCCAAUGAUAUAGUCUACAGCAGGCAGCCUGCCAGGGUGCAGAGCAGGGUAGAAAAUGGAUCGGAAGGGCAAAGGUGAGGUAGAGUUGGGAGACUUACCUGAGGUCACAUAGUCAGCUUCACCUGAUUGUCAGGAAAGUAACCCUGUGAACCCUAGCUGGGGAGAAGAACCUAAAGGCAAGAGAGAGAACCGUUCUAUAGGACCCGGGAGGAUUUGCCAUCAUCUGAAGGAAGACUGAAUCUUGUCUGCUCUGGGGAGGCACGGAGGAGCCUGUGACUUGUGAGUUCCAGUAAUCAUUGUACAUCUCUGCUUCUGCCUUUGCCAAUGAGCCUGAUUUUAGGCAGAGAAAGAAGAUUCUGCCUAACAAAGUAGAGACAGGUAUCCUGGAGUUCAUGAAAGACGUGUAGCUGAUUCAGCCAUGUGAAGAAGGACAUGCUUGCUUCUUCUUCCACCAUCAUUGCAAGUUUCCUGAGGCCUCCCCAGCCCUGCAGAACCAUGACAGCACACCAAAUACAGAGGCAAGUGUCUCUACAUUUUCAGAUACUAUAGAUGUGUCACUCUCAGAUGACGACCAGACCCCCUUGGUGCCCAACUGCCCAUCAGGCACAACGUCGUCACCAAGCAGAUAUUAAGGGGGAGGCGA
rnacentral:lncRNA from 1 species